UGGGGAAUAUUGGGCAAUGGGGGAAACCCUGACCCAGCAACGCCGCGUGAAGGAAGAAGGUCUUCGGAUUGUAAACUUCUUUGAUCAGGGACGAAGAAAUGACUGUACCUGAAGAACAAGUCACGGCUAACUACGUGCCAGCAGCCGCGGUAAUACGUAGGUGGCAAGCGUUAUCCGGAUUUACUGGGUGUAAAGGGCGUGUAGGCGGGUCUGCAAGUCAGAUGUGAAAUCUCCGGGCUUAACUCGGAAGGGUCAUCUGAAACUACGGAUCUUGAGUACUGGAGAGGAUAGUGGAAUUCCUAGUGUAGCGGUAAAAUGCGUAGAUAUUAGGAGGAACACCAGUGGCGAAGGCGGCUAUCUGGACAGUAACUGACGCUGAGGCGCGAAAGCGUGGGGAGCAAACAGG
rnacentral:rRNA from 2 species